CUUUAAUUAUGGCCGUCGUCUGAAAGAGAGCCCAGUUGAGUUCACUAGGAGGCCUUUGAUCAAGGACUUCGGCUAACACAAUGGGAGCAAAUUGAGCAGCUAUGGAAGAUCCAAAUGGAAUAAAUCACAUUAGAGUCCUUUUUUUAUUCAGGUAUUAUUGAACCUUCUUUAUUGUAUUAACCCCAAGACAGAACUGUAAAUGUACAAUGUUAGGGCUGGAAGGAACCUUGAGGUCUUUUAAUCAAUCUUUUUUUUUUUUUUUUGCAAUGCAGGAAUUCUGCCCUGGACAAAUGGCUGUUUAAUCUUUUCUUGAAUAAUGAUGGCGCACUCCCUAAGAUCAGAACAUCUUCUUUCUCAUCUAUUAAACCUUCCUUUUCUUAAUUUUCAAAAUAUGCAUCUUUUCUCUUCAUUUCCUCUAUUAAUUUAUGCUUUUUACCAUCUUUUCAUCUUACAUUUUGUCAGUCUUUCAUAUACUACGAUCACCAUUAGAUGAAUCCACAAAUAUUAACUUCUGCUGCCUAUCAUAGUUUUAGGCAAUUGAAAAUUUUAUCUACUGCUUUUUAUUAAGAGGUCUCUCUAUGUGCACAGUGUGUUGGAGGAAGUGCCUUUACACUGAAUUUCUAGAGUUGCUUUAGAAAAUAUCUCCAUGUUGAAUUAAAAAGAACAGAAUAAAAUAAAUAUCCAAGUAAUAAACAAGAUUUCUGGGAACAAAUCCUUUCAUAGUUUCAGUUUUAGAAUGCAUACUGGAAUUCUCCUUGGAAUCUGAGAAAAAAAUCUUUAUCUCCUUUUACCAUCAGUUGCUAUCCACGUAGAAAAAAAUACAGUUUUUUUAUCAUGAGAGAAUUAACUAAAGCAAGAAUAAAAAGGCAUCUUUCCUGUUUGAGCCAUGGUUAUUAGAAUAAUUUCUAAUGAACAAAAGAACGUGGUCUUUAUAUUCUUGAUGAAAUGGUCACACAAGAUGUGAUGGUCACACCCCAAGAACCUAUCUCUAACAUGUGCAAAAAAUUCAUAAUAUUCCAGAGAGGUUCAUUCAUCCUGUUUACAUAGAAAUGCCUUCUAUAAAAGAUUUUCAUGUUCUAUGAUGCAAAUCCAUCUUUUAUGAGUUGAUGCAAAAAUAUGAUGAUCCAGAGAAAAUAUAUAGCUGAUGAGAUUGCAAGUGAAGGCACAAAAGGCUAUUUUUGAUUUUCUAUCAGUUCAGUUAUGGAAUUAAAUGCAGGUAUUGUAUAACAAGAGCACUUCAACAAGAUAGACUGGAAAUACAAGAAUUUACUUAUUUAUUAAAUGUAUGUUCAUGUUGUUAUUCAGAUAAAAAUCCCUCAGUGCAACUAGUAAAUCCGAAAGAACAGUAUUAUAUAAAUAAACAUCAAGAGCAUCCUUCAAAAGCUACAAAAGAGGUUAAAUAAAACAAAGCUGGAUCAGAACAAUAUAAAAAUCUACAAUUAAAAUGUGUGGAACAAUAAAAAGAUAUUUAUCAGAGCUCUGCCACUAAUGACAUUUGACAACGGUAAGAAAACUAUUUGAUGGGUUGCCUUCCCUCCUGUAGCAGAACUACAACAUUAUGACUGGAAAUACACAGUUCCAUUUUCACAUUGUUACACACGAUGUCCAAGUUUGGAUAUAACCCAUCUCGAGCCUAUCUUACUUCAACUGGCAGGCAUUAUCCAAGGAAGAUCUCAGAAAUCAGAGAAGUUUAUAUAGAAAUUAUAAGUCCUUAAAGUUAUCUGGUCCAAAAAGGAUAGAGGUAGAGGAUUCUAAUGCUCAAAAUCAGCACUUUGAGUAGAAAAAACUGUAUGAAAGUACAGCUCUUCUCAGAAGUGUAAGAAGUGAUCCAAUUUUUCACUAUUGUUUGUGAACUAGCCCCCUCACAACUUACUUUAAAUACCUGAAACUACUAUCAAUGGCUCUCUAAAAUCUGACAGAAAUACAGUAUAAUUCCUAUCAGCUGCACCUCUGCUUUUUCUUGCAGAAAUGUAGGUGAUUGAAGUUGAGACCUUUGAUAUUCAUAAUAUAUAUUCAAUUUCUAAAAUAUGGUCCAUUCAUUUUGAAUUUUUCUAUAGUAAUCUACUUCUGAGGUGACUAGAGUUCACGUAGUCCUUUUUAAAUGACCACAAUUGGGAUCAGCAACUUGGUCAUUAAGUGAAGAUGUCAGUAAAUGAAACCACAUCUCUGCUUAUGAUCUUAUUUCAACUGUCUUUUGCUUUACAGACUGAAAAUUGUAAAUGUGAGGACUGAUAGCAAAGUUACUUUUUCAUCACCAUUGUAACUGUGAACAGUUGCUAAACAAGGCAGUCACUAAAUAAGGAUUACCUGUAGUACUAAUUCUAGUCAAAUCAUAUCUAUUCAGAAAAAGUUGCAAAUAGUUUAAAUUUUAUCUUAUGAAAAUAAGUUGGGGGUACAGAGACCACUGGCUUUCAAGAGAUAAGCUGGUCCUAAGUAGACAUGCCUGAUCUUUAAAAGGAGCAUUUGUUUUUCUAAAUUAAACACUCUCCAUGAUGUUUGAGUGAUGCACACAAACAAUGGAAAAACUUCCAUUAACUUCUAUGAAUUCUAUGAUUAUCAAAGGCCAAUUUUGUCAGGUCAGUUUUUGCUAUUAAGAUCUUGACUCUGAUGUUAUCACUAAACAGUAGCACAUAAACAUAUACAAAUGGAUAAAUCAAACAGAACAUAUGAGUAUCCUGCUAGUCAGAUCAGAGACAUCUCAAGUCCAACACUGUACUCCCAAUAGUACUCAACUGAACGCUUUUGAGAUGCUCCAAGCUUGGUAUGACUCUCUGUCAAUAUAAAUCUGCCUUGUGUCCUUUUAUCCCAUCUGUUAGCCAUGUUUACAGCAAGUGACAAUGCCUAAUCAAACAUACCUGAUUCUUAAAAAAACCAAGCAGGGUCAAUCUUGCUUAGUAUGUGAAGGGAGACCACCAAGUAAAUGCCAAGACUGUGCACUUGAUUGGAAAGUUAAAGGACCAUAUCAGAAGAAGACAGCUUCCAUAUUGUUAACAAGAAAACAAUACAAUGUAAAUGUAUCCUAUAAUCAGAGCUGACCUCACCCGACUGUAGUUGGCAGCCAUAAACCAGGGAAGCAAAUUAGCAACAGCAAUACACUUAGACUUAUAUACUGCUCCACAGUGCUUCACAGCACUCUCUGGCAGUUUAUAAUGUCAGCACAUUGCCCCCUACAAUCUGGGUCCUUGUUUUACCAACCUCGGAAGAA